rnacentral:rRNA from 1 species
AACGGGUGGGCGCUAGUUGUGCGAACCUUCCACGGUUUGUGCGACGCAAGCUAACGCAUUAAGCGCCCCGCCUGGGGAGUACGAUCGCAAGAUUAAAACUCAAAGGAAUUGACGGGGCCCCGCACAAGCAGCGGAGCAUGCGGCUUAAUUCGACGCAACGCGAAGAACCUUACCAAGGCUUGACAUAUACAGGAAUAUGGCAGAGAUGUCAUAGCCGCAAGGUCUGUAUACAGGUGGUGCAUGGUUGUCGUCAGCUCGUGUCGUGAGAUGUUGGGUUAGUCCCGCAACGAGCGCAACCCUCGUUCUGUGUUGCCAGCAUUUAGUUGGGGACUCACAGGAGACUGCCGGGGUUAACUCGGAGGAAGGUGGGGAUGACGUCAAAUCAUCAUGCCCCUUAUGUCUUGGGCUGCACGCAUGCUACAAUGGCUGGUACAAACGGCUGCGAUACCGCAAGGUGGAGCGAAUCCGAGAAAGCCAGUCUCAGUUCGGAUUGGGGUCUGCAACUCGACCCCAUGAAGUCGGAGUUGCUAGUAAUCGUAGAUCAGCAACGCUACGGUGAAUACGUUCCCGGGGCUUGUACACACCGCCCGUCACAUCACGAAAGUCGGUAACACCCAAAGUCAGUGCCC